CAUAGAUUAGGCUCAUUGGCCAGUAGUCAUCCACAUUCGUGUGAGUAUUUUUUUAUGAUUGAUUUAAUCAUUUAAAUGUGUAAUAACUAAUCCCUCCGUCCCGAAAUUCUCGCCGAACGCAGAGUUCAUUGGUAAAUUUGCAAACAAAUCCUUGCAAGAUGAAAAGUGUCUCAAACAGAGCCCUCCGCCCCGUCUUCUUCCUUCGCUCGUCACCCGCGCGUUGCCAAGGCCGGCG
rnacentral:lncRNA from 1 species